UUUUUUUUUUUCAAAACUCUUGGUAGCCAAACAAAAGCAAGUCCCUUUCUCCUCAUUUUCUCUCCUUCCAUUUUCAACCAAUCCGACUUAGAAAUCUUUCCCCUCUCUCUCUUCUCACAUUCUCCAUCCCCUCCCUUCUUUUUCCCCCUCAUUGAUUCAUCAUAUGGAUUUUAAAUUUAAAUCUUAGUUAAUCUCAUUGACACUUGUGUGCCUGUAGACUUUAAAUAUGCCUUGGUGCUUGAGCCAACUAAUAAAAGAGUAGCCCUUUCUGCUGAAAGAUUAUGGAAGGUGUUUUCAGUACGAGAUUCAAGUGAAUGCAUCAGUCUAGGAAUGGCAAAGUCUCCAAUUUAUCAUUUUUCAUAAAAGCCUCAUCAAUUUCUCUGCAGCAGAUGACACAAUUAAACAGUUUGAUGAGUGUUGCUACACAAAAAAUGGCUCGAGGAGAAGAGUGCCUGGCAGGUAGAGACGGGAGAGAAGAUAGUAAUCCAUCUUCAUAGAAGGUAUAGAGGUUUGAAGAGUAUGUUUUUGUUUGAUGUGAUCUGAUAUGAUUUUAAGAUAACUAGGUAAUUAUUACUGUUGUCUGUUUUUGUAAGUACGGUACAAUUUUGUUCAUUUUAAUAUUUUAUGAAAGGGUUGUAAUUU
rnacentral:misc_RNA from 1 species